rnacentral:rRNA from 1 species
UCACUCAUCACCCUGUGACUUACCUAAACGUUGCUUCGGCGGGAAUAGACGGCCCUGUAAAACGGGCCGCCCCCGCCAGAGGACCCUUAACUCUGUUUCUUAUAAUGUUUCUUCUGAGUAAAACAAGCAAAUAAAUUAAAACUUUCAACAACGGAUCUCUUGGCUCUGGCAUCGAUGAAGAACGCAGCGAAAUGCGAUAAGUAAUGUGAAUUGCAGAAUUCAGUGAAUCAUCGAAUCUUUGAACGCACAUUGCGCCCGCCAGUAUUCUGGCGGGCAUGCCUGUUCGAGCGUCAUUACAACCCUCAGGCCCCCGGGCCUGGCGUUGGGGAUCGGCGGAGCGCCCCUCGUGGGCGCACGCCGUCCCCCAAAUACAGUGGCGGUCCCGCCGCAGCUUCCAUCGCGUAGUAGCUAACACCUCGCGACUGGAGAGCGGCGCGGCCACGCCGUAAAACACCCCAACUCUUCUGAAGUUGACCUCGAAUCAGGUAGGAAUACCCGCUGAACUUAAGCAUAUCAAUAAGCGGAGGGAAAAGAAAACGACA